rnacentral:rRNA from 1 species
UACCGGCAGCUCGAGUGAUGUCCAAUUUUAUUGGGCCUAAAGCGUCCGUAGCUGGCCAGCCAAGUCCGUCGGGAAAUCCACCUGCCCAACAGGUGGGCGUCCGGCGGAAACUGUCUGGCUUGGAACCGGAAGGCUCAGAGGGUACGUCUGGGGUAGGAGUGAAAUCCUGUAAUCCCAGACGGACCACCGAUGGCGAAAGCACUCUGAGAAGACGGAUUCGACAGUGAGGGACGAAAGCUAGGGUCUCGAA